GGCUCGUUAGCUCAGUGGUUAGAGUGCCGCGCUCUCAUAGCGGAGGUCGUAGGUUCGAAUCCUACAUGAGCCC